GGGAUAACUACUGGAAACGGUAGCUAAUACCGCAUAACGUCGCAAGACCAAAGAGGGGGACCUUCGGGCCUCUUGCCAUCGGAUGUGCCCAGAUGGGAUUAGCUAGUAGGUGGGGUAACGGCUCACCUAGGCGACGAUCCCUAGCUGGUCUGAGAGGAUGACCAGCCACACUGGAACUGAGACACGGUCCAGACUCCUACGGGAGGCAGCAGUGGGGAAUAUUGCACAAUGGGCGCAAGCCUGAUGCAGCCAUGCCGCGUGUAUGAAGAAGGCCUUCGGGUUGUAAAGUACUUUCAGCGGGGAGGAAGGGAGUAAAGUUAAUACCUUCGCUCAUUGACGUUACCCGCAGAAGAAGCACCGGCUAACUCCGUGCCAGCAGCCGCGGUAAUACGGAGGGUGCAAGCGUUAAUCGGAAUUACUGGGCGUAAAGCGCACGCAGGCGGUUUGUUAAGUCAGAUGUGAAAUCCCCGGGCUCAACCUGGGAACUGCAUCUGAUACUGGCAAGCUUGAGUCUCGUAGAGGGGGGUAGAAUUCCAGGUGUAGCGGUGAAAUGCGUAGAGAUCUGGAGGAAUACCGGUGGCGAAGGCGGCCCCCUGGACGAAGACUGACGCUCAGGUGCGAAAGCGUGGGGAGCAAACAGGAUUAGAUACCCU
rnacentral:rRNA from 1 species